GGACCCGCACAAGCGGUGGAGCAUGUGGUUUAAUUCGAUGCAACGCGAAAAACCUUACCUAUACUUGACAUACUUGGAAUGCUUUGUAAUGAAGCAGUGCCUUCGGGAGCCAAGAUACAGGUGCUGCAUGGCUGUCGUCAGCUCGUGUCGUGAGAUGUUCCGUUAAGUCGGAUAACGAGCGCAACCCUUACCCUUAUUUGCCAGCGAUUCGGUCGGGAACUAUAAGGGGACUGCCGGUGAUAAACCGGAGGAAGGUGAGGACGACGUCAAGUCAUCAUGGCCCUUACGUAUAGGGCUACACACGUGCUACAAUGGAGAAUACAGACGGACGCUAAGCCGCGAGUGGUGCU
rnacentral:rRNA from 1 species